ACCACCAAAAUCGUUCCAGCAAGAAAAAAGGAAAAAAAAGAGAAACGCAAAAAACAUGUUCUCCGCUGGAAACUACAAUUCCUACUACUUACUGAAGAAGAAAAAUGUUUGCAACUUCAAUUUCAUACAAACCCUUGCUUAGACUAUCUCCAUUAUUUUCUACAACUCCUUCAAGAUUAAUCUCUCUUAGACUAAUUUCUAAUACUGGGUUUAUGCUAAAGAGACUUGGUGAUGAGAAGAACAGAGUUGUUGGUUCAGAAACGAUGACUGAGAUGACUAAAAUUUCUGCUUUUAGUAGAGGUAGUGGUGACGGAAGUUUUGAGAUUACUGAAGAUGAAGCUAUUUUGGGUAAUGGGUCUUCGGAUAUUCCUCGAGAAAUUGUUGUGCCAAGUGGAAUUGAAUCGACUAUCAAUCGUUUGGUUAGCACCUAGCAAGUGGCUUGUGGCUACAGUUUUUGGAAUUAUUGUGAUUUGGAGGCACGAUGCUGUGACCAUGUGGGCUGCAACGGGAGCAGUGGCAAAUGCAUGGCUUUCAAUUACGUUAAAACGAAUACUCAACCAAGAGCGACCUGUUGCUAGCUUAGGAUCUGGUCCAGGCAUGCCAUCUUCACAUGCUCAGUCCAUCUUCUUCGCUUCUGUCUUUGCUAUCCUAUCAUUGAUUAAUCUCUAGGGUUGAAUGGAGUUACAGUGACCAUCGGGGUGCUCGGCUUGGCUUUCAGCGCAUAUCUUUCUUGGUUACGUAUAUCACAACGACAUCACACCAUCAGUCAGGUUGUGGUGGGUGCUAUCUUAGGGACCAUUUGCUCGAUUCUGUGGUUUCAGUCUUGGUAUGGGUUCGUGCUAAGAGCGAUCAUUUCCUUUUUAUGGGUACGGAUUAUUGUUGUUCUUGGUGGUGUCACAUUUUGUGUGAGCUUUCUGUUAUAUGUCAUUAACAUUGGCUUAUGGAUGGCGAUGAAGAUUAAACUCUGUAAAUUUAGCCCAGAUAAAAUUUGAAGUCAUGUAUCCAAAUUCUUUUGUCACAUACUUGCAUGUAUAGUUCAGGUUGACAGGAUAGUAUUUUUUUCUCAAACCAUAAAGCAAGCAAAGCCUUGCUUGAGGCCACAGGAUUAAGGGGCCACAUUUAUUUAUUUAUUGUUGUACUUUUUUAGUUUGAGCAUCUCAAACAUCUUAUCCGUUGCAGAUAGAUUGAUCAUAUGUAAUGUAUAACUUUAUUGGAUCCAAGGAACAAUGUAAGUUUGCUGAUAUAAUUACAGAAAGCUUCACAUUCA